UACGUAGGGUGCAAGCGUUGUCCGGAAUUAUUGGGCGUAAAGAGCUCGUAGGCGGUUCGUCGCGUCGGCUGUGAAAUCCCGAGGCUCAACCUCGGGUCUGCAGUCGAUACGGGCGGACUGGAGUUCGGCAGGGGAGACUGGAAUUCCUGGUGUAGCGGUGAAAUGCGCAGAUAUCAGGAGGAACACCGGUGGCGAAGGCGGGCCUCUGGGCCGAUACUGACGCUGAGGAGCGAAAGCGUGGGGAGCGAACAGG
rnacentral:rRNA from 1 species